rnacentral:tRNA from 1 species
GUGGGUGUAGGUCGGUGGCGGAGUGUUUGCCUAGGAUGCAUCAGGCCCUGGGUUCAAUCCUCAGCACCACACA